CAGUCGCCGCGGUAAUACGCAGGGUGCGAGCGUUAAUCGGAAUUACUGGGCGUAAAGCGUGCGCAGGCGGUUGUGUAAGACAGGUGUGAGAUCCCCGGGCUUAACCUGGGAACUGCGCUUGUGACUGCACAGCUAGAGUAUGGCAGAGGGGGGUGGAAUUCCACGUGUAGCAGUGAAAUGCGUAGAGAUGUGGAGGAACACCGAUGGCGAAGGCAGCCCCCUGGGCCAAUACUGACGCUCAUGCACGAAAGCGUGGGGAGCAAACAGGAUUAGAUACCCCAGUAGUCCCUGUCUCUUAUAC
rnacentral:rRNA from 1 species